UGAGGAACAUGACCUUCGGCGGGGGAUAGCCGGCCCAACGGCCGGGUAAUACCGCGUACGACCACAUGGGGACAUCCCUGAGUGGUGAAAGCAGCAAUGCGCCGAUGGAGUGCCUCGCGGCCUAUCAGCUAGUUGGUGAGGUAACGGCUCACCAAGGCGACGACGGGUAGCCGGCCUGAGAGGGUGACCGGCCACACUGGGACUGAGACACGGCCCAGACUCCUACGGGAGNAG
rnacentral:rRNA from 1 species